UUGGAGGGCAAGUCUGGUGCCAGCAGCCGCGGUAAUUCCAGCUCCAAUAGCGUAUAUUAAAGUUGUUGCAGUUAAAAAGCUCGUAGUUGAAUUUUUGAUCUGGCCGAGAGUACGACCGCGAGGUCAGUAUUCUUGGCUGGAUCUUUCCUUCUGGAGAGCCAUUAUGCCAUUUAUUUGGUGUUUUGGGGAUCCAGGACUUUUACCUUGAAAAAAUUAGAGUGUUUAAAGCAGGCAUACGCUUGAAUACACUAGCAUGGAAUAAUAGAAUAGGACUUUGGUUCUAUUUUGUUGGUUUCUAGGACCGAAGCAAUGAUUAAUAGGGAUAGUUGGGGGCAUUAGUAUUUAAUUGUCAGAGGUGAAAUUCUUGGAUUUAUGAAAGACUAACUUCUGCGAAAGCAUUUGCCAAGGAUGUUUUCAUUAAUCAAGAACGAAAGUUAGGGGAUCGAAGACGAUCAGAUACCGUCGUAGUCUUAACCAUAAACUAUGCCGACUAGGGAUCGCACGACGUUAAAUAAAUGACUCGUUCGGCGCCUUACGGGAAAC
rnacentral:rRNA from 1 species